ACAUACGACCAUAGACUCAAGAGAAUUGGGCAUCCCGUCCGCUCUGCCAUACACCCGUCCGCUCUGCCAUACACCCGUCCGCUCUGCCAUACACAAGCUUGAGAUCGGUGGAUUAGUAGUUGGGUGGGUGACCACCAGCGAAUACCCACUGUUGUAUGUU
rnacentral:rRNA from 1 species